CCUAAAUUCUCUCAUUCUUAAGAGCUAAAAAGCUAUUGUGUCCGUUUCACAGUUGGUAAAGCUGAGGCUCAGAGAAGUUCAUUGUCUUAUAAAGAAUCUAUUAAGGAACAGAAUUAGGAUUUGAAUCCAAGUCUCUUCAUUCCAUUAUGCCAUUUUCCACUACUUUGGGCUGCAACCUAAUUCUCUGACUACUCAUCUGGUGCGAAUUCAAAACAGUUUGUCUUGGAACAUGCUAUUGGUGCCAUUGUCUGCUUUUCCAAUUGGGCAUUUAAAUUUGUUAGACUUUUAGAGAUGGACAGUUUCCCGAAGGUAAUACAGCAUUGGCAUAUGUGAAGGCUUUGCUUCCAAUGAGUAGAUUAUAACUUGAAGCCUUUUAACGUCAUAUGAACCGGCUGCUUGACCCAUUCUUGUUUUGGAAUACUUUAUUUGCAGUUUCAAGAAGAUGAACUGUUGACUAACAGAGCAAGAAGAAAGAUAAGAGGAGAAGACAGCGAGGAGGAAGACUGAGCAGAGACGACAGGAUCCAAGACCACGCAUGCUGCCCAUGGGACAGAUGUGGAUUCAGCAGAGCCACGGAGUUUCCAGAAGGCCGCUGCGUAACUGCCAACCAAGCAAGGAAUGAAAGGUGGGAAGAGCACCACAACUUCGAGAUCCUUCCUCCGAGUGAACUACUCUAUUCCCAUUGGUUUAAAGACUCUGAGCGAGGCAGUCCCACUGUUGUGAGGACAAGGCUUAAAAACCGCCCUGUACCGAGCAGGUUUUAUGGAAGUGGGGUCAGAGUGAUGAAUGACGACGGGUGCGUCCAUCUCCAGACGCGGCACUUACUGCAAGUCCGUUAAAGAGUCUGCUGCAAGGCCACAGCCCCUAGAACAGAUGCACAAUUCCUGCUCCCAGAGGCCCCGUGUGCAGGGAGAAAGAGGCAGAGGGAGAGGGGUCCCUUCUGGCUCCCCCCAUGGCCAGGUGAGCUCACCCCAACUCUAGCGAAUAGAGACACCGGUUUCAUUCAGUGUAGGUAUGGACUUGUGAAGGGUCAGAGCAGGCCAAAGAUGGACCGGGCUAUCUCUGGAGGGAGUGAGGAGUGUGUCCAAACACAGACCGGAUGACCACUGGGUAGAGAUAACGGAGGGAGGAGUCGCACAUCAGAGAGAUGUUAGACCAGAUGACCUUUACAGUUCCCUUCAAAUUGAGAAUCUACUUAAACUCAGGGAAACUGGGUUUGAUCCCUGGGGGAACACAUGGACUUGUAAGCAUUUGAACUUAUCAUUUUGUUGUGGUUUCUCAUCUGGGAGUACUAGUAUUCCUUGCUUAAUUUAGACGUGACAAGUCAACAGUGUUAAAUAUGGUCAAACUUUACAUAAUUUAUUCUUCCCUUGAAGUGGAGCCAAGACAACCUCAGGGCCUUUGCACUUACUGUUCUCCACUCCUUUCAUUCAGAUUGUGCUCAAAUGUGGCCUUAUCAAAGAGGUCAUCCCUGAUCUCCUCCCCUAUAAAAUGUCACCCCCCCUUGACCUUCUUGUUGUCACUUUCUACACUUUCCCCUCCCUCCACAUGACACAUUAUAUAUUCAUUUGUUCAUUUUUGGGCUCUCCUUGAUGAAAAAUAAACACCAUGGAACAAAGCUUUGUCUGUUUGGUUCAACGUAUUUCAGAUCCUACAACAGCACCUGGCACAUA